CCUGGGCAUGGAGCGUCUGAAGUACGGCGAGUGAAGCGGCAAAAGCUCAAAUUUGAAAUCUGGCACCUUCGGUGUCCGAGUUGUAAUUUGAAGAAGGUAACUUUGGAGUUGGCUCUUGUCUAUGUUCCUUGGAACAGGACGUCACAGAGGGUGAGAAUCCCGUGCGAUGAGAUGCCCAAUUCUAUGUAAAGUGCUUUCGAAGAGUCGAGUUGUUUGGGAAUGCAGCUCUAAGUGGGUGGUAAAUUCCAUCUAAAGCUAAAUAUUGGCGAGAGACCGAUAGCGAACAAGUACAGUGAUGGAAAGAUGAAAAGAACUUUGAAAAGAGAGUGAAAAAGUACGUGAAAUUGUUGAAAGGGAAGGGCUUGAGAUCAGACUUGGUAUUUUGCGAUCCUUUCCUUCUUGGUUGGGUUCCUCGCAGCUUACUGGGCCAGCAUCGGUUUGGAUGGUAGGAUAAUGACUAAGGAAUGUGGCUCUACUUCGGUGGAGUGUUAUAGCCUUGGUUGAUACUGCCUGUCUAGACCGAGGACUGCGUCUUUUGACUAGGAUGUUGGCAUAAUGAUCUUAAGCCACCCGUCUUAACAAACGGAACAAAAAAAAAGAAAAAAAAAUUAAAAUAAAAAAAAAUAAAAAACCCCCCCCAACAAGGCCAAGCCCGUUUGAGCUCGCACAUCGAGGACGCAUAUUGUCUC
rnacentral:rRNA from 1 species